UACGUAGGGGGCAAGCGUUGUCCGGAUUUAUUGGGCGUAAAGAGCGUGUAGGCGGCUAGGUAGGUCCGUUGUGAAAACUCGAGCUCAACCUCGAGACGCCGGUGGAAACCAUCUAGCUAGAGUCCGGAAGAGGAGAGUGGAAUUCCUGGUGUAGCGGUGAAAUGCGUUGAUAUCGGAAGGAACGCCGGCGGCGAAAGCGGCUUGCUGGACCCCAUCUGACGCUGAUGCGCGAAAGCCAGGGGAGCAAACGGG
rnacentral:rRNA from 1 species